GGCUCGAUUUGGGGGUCUCGCACCCCCUCUGACCUGCGACGAUAGAAAGUCAUGUGACGUGGGUCACACGACUGGUUCGAUGUCCGGUUCGGCCUG
rnacentral:tRNA from 1 species